rnacentral:rRNA from 1 species
AGAGUUUGAUCCUGGCUCAGAUUGAACGCUGGCGGCAUGCCUUACACAUGCAAGUCGAGCGGUAACAGGUCUUCGGAUGCUGACGAGUGGCGAACGGGUGAGUAAUACAUCGGAACGUGCCCGAUCGUGGGGGAUAACGAAGCGAAAGCUUUGCUAAUACCGCAUACGAUCUACGGAUGAAAGCAGGGGACCGCAAGGCCUUGCGCGAACGGAGCGGCCGAUGGCAGAUUAGGUAGUUGGUGGGAUAAAAGCUUACCAAGCCGACGAUCUGUAGCUGGUCUGAGAGGACGACCAGCCACACUGGGACUGAGACACGGCCCAGACUCCUACGGGAGGCAGCAGUGGGGAAUUUUGGACAAUGGGCGCAAGCCUGAUCCAGCAAUGCCGCGUGCAGGAAGAAGGCCUUCGGGUUGUAAACUGCUUUUGUACGGAACGAAACGGCUCUGGUUAAUACCUGGGGCUAAUGACGGUACCGUAAGAAUAAGCACCGGCUAACUUCGUGCCAGCAGCCGCGGUAAUA